rnacentral:rRNA from 1 species
AUUGAACGCUGGCGGCAGGCCUAACACAUGCAAGUCGAACGGUAGCACAGAGAGCUUGCUCUCGGGUGACGAGUGGCGGACGGGUGAGUAACGUCUGGGAAACUGCCCGAUGGAGGGGGAUAACUACUGGAAACGGUAGCUAAUACCGCAUAACGUCGCAAGACCAAAGUGGGGGACCUUCGGGCCUCACACCAUCGGAUGUGCCCAGAUGGGAUUAGCCAGUAGGUGGGGUAAUGGCUCACCUAGGCGACGAUCCCUAGCUGGUCUGAGAGGAUGACCAGCCACACUGGAACUGAGACACGGUCCAGACUCCUACGGGAGGCAGCAGUGGGGAAUAUUGCACAAUGGGCGCAAGCCUGAUGCAGCCAUGCCGCGUGUAUGAAGAAGGCCUUCGGGUUGUAAAGUACUUUCAGCGGGGAGGAAGGCGGUGAAGUUAAUAACUUCACCGAUUGACGUUACCCGCAGAAGAAGCACCGGCUAACUCCGUGCCAGCCGCCGCUGUAA